rnacentral:rRNA from 1 species
UACGGGGGGAGCAAGCGUUGUUCGGAUUUACUGGGCGUAAAGGGCGCGUAGGCGGUAGCACAAGUCAGUUGUGAAAUCUCCGGGCUUAACUCGGAAAGGUCAACUGAUACUGUGCGACUAGAGUGCAGAAGGGGCAACUGGAAUUCUCGGUGUAGCGGUGAAAUGCGUAGAUAUCGAGAGGAACACCAGUGGCGAAGGCGACUUCCUGGCCUGUUCUUGACGCUGAGGCGCGAAAGCUAGGGGAGCAAACGGG